AUUGAACGCUGGCGGCAGGCCUAACACAUGCAAGUCGAACGAGUGGCGGACGGGUUAGUAAUGUCUGGGAAACUGCCGGAUGGAGGGGGAUAACUACUUGAAACGGUAGCUAAUACCGCAUACCAUCAGAUGUGCCCAGAUGGGAUUAGCUAGUUGGUGGGGUAACGGCUCAACAAGGAGAAGAUCCCUAGCUGGUCUGAGAGGAUGACGAGCAACACUGGAACUGAGACGCGGUCCAGACUCCUACGGGAGGCAGCAGUGGGGAAUAUUGCACAAUGGGCGCAAGCCUGAUGCAGCCAUGCCGCGGGUAUGAAGAAGGCCUUCGGGGUGUAAAGUACUUUCAGCGGGGAGGCGUUACCCGCAGAAGAAGCACCGGCUAACUCCGUGCCAGCAGACGCGGUAAUAC
rnacentral:rRNA from 1 species